GUCGCUAGUUGGGAAAUCGUUGAUAGUUCUCGUAACUGUUACGAGAGACAGCGUUUACGAGAGAGUUUAGUAAAUCCGGCCCUGUUGCGACAGUAUUUUCUAUCGUUACGCAUCGUAGGCCUUUAUUUCCUAUAAGAACGACUCAAGCGACCAAUCAGCGUAAACCUCGGAAUUUUCGACCAAUCACAGCAGUUCUCCCUCAAAACAUAAACAAUGGAGGCCUCACAAGAUCCGGGGAAAAACGUCGCCCUAAUUUUUCUAAUGAAGAGCUGCACGCUAUGGUGAAGUACAGAAGAGGCAGAGGGUUAAUGAGGGCUCAUUUUCAUCGACGGUGACUAGUAAGGUGAAGAAGGCGGCCUGGAACAGCGUAGCAGAAAGGGUUGACGCUGUCAGCACCUCGCAAAGGACUGCCGGUGAAGUCAAGCAAGUUGACCGUCUUCAAGUCUGCCACGAAGAAAAAACUGGCAAAGAGGAAUGAAGAACGAACGAAAACUGGUCAAAAUCGCUAACUUCAGCGACAGGGACGACUCAGCGACCCUGUGGGAGGUCUAGCAAAUCGGCGAGAAUUUCGACCAGCACCUGACUCCCGUAGGUCGCUGGACCCUCGCGACCCAAGAUCCAAACGACGACUCCAGUGACGACUCCGGGGCCUUCAGGAGACAUGGCUCUGCACCUCCAGCCUCCUGGGGGGUUGCCAUACCCGCGGGUGUUGGUGUGAGUGUGAAGGUUCUGAAUCAUGGGGUUCUGGAGGGACCUGUUGACGACCCCAUGUUCCGGAGGUCGGACCUGACUGGACUGCCUAUCACGUGCACUAGCAUCGGUUACAAACCUCUGUCCAUUAUCACCCGCCAAGCCAACGGUACCGUGCAUGUAGGUGGUGUUAUGGGGAAAAUCUUCGACAUGUUU
rnacentral:lncRNA from 1 species